AGUAAUGAGCGGCAGGGGCAAUAUUCGAAUUUGCAAUAUUUAGCGAAUAUUUGGGCGAAUAUUCAUCAUAUAUUGGCGAAUUCAAGAAUUCGCUAUUAUUUUCUUGAUUGCGAAAAAUCGGCAAUGUAAUAUUCGC